UACGAAGGGGCAAGCGUUGUUCGGAUUUACUGGGCGGUAAAGCGUACGUAGGCGGAUGAUUAAGUCAGGGGUGAAAUCCCGAGGCUCAACCUCGGAACUGCCUGUCAGACUGCAAGGCUUGAGACCGGGAGAGGUGAGUGGAAUUCCCAGUGUAGCGGUGAAAUGCGUAGAUAUUGGGAGGAACACCAGUGGCGAAGGCGGCUCACUGGACCGGUACUGACGCUGAGGCGCGAAAGCGUGGGGAGCAAACAGGG
rnacentral:rRNA from 1 species